AAUGCCUUAAAGAAAGGACUGAUCUCCCCUGAAGAAGAGAGAAUUCUGCCUCUAGAUUGCUUACAAUUUGAACUGGAACAUCAGCUGUUCUCUAGGUCUUAAGUCUGCUGCUCUAACCUACAAAUUUUGGACAUGCCAAUCUCCACAGUCACAUGGGCCAAUUCCUUAGUUUCUCUGGAGAAUCCUGACUAAUGUAUGCAAUGUCUUUAUUUCAUCCUCAUUCUUAAAGGAUAUUUUCAUCAGCAACACCACACCCUCCUGAUCACCAUAGCUUUAUGAUCUGAGCUUUCAUCUGGUAUCAUUUCCUUUCCGUCUGAAGAACUUGCUUUCCUUGCAACAACAAGAAACAAAUUUAUUAGCUAACCUAACCACUAAUGACGCAAGAGACAAUUCUAAGGACUUUCAAAACAGCAAAGUAGGAGCAGCUGCUACCUCUAGGGAUGAGGGAUGCAAUUGUCCAAUUAUUGGUGAAAUUGUCAUUUCAUGCUAUUGGCUAUUUGAAAUUCCUCCUCUAAUUUCAGAAUAAAUCACUGAAAUUGACAUCGGCC
rnacentral:lncRNA from 10 species